GGCGGCUUAGUUCAGGGGUAGAACGCUCCCCUCAUAAGGGAGAAGUCAUUGGUUCAAAUCCAAUAGCCGCUAC
rnacentral:tRNA from 2 species